GUCCACGCCGUAAACGAUGAAUGCUAGCCGUUGGGCAGCUUGCUGUUCAGUGGCGCAGCUAACGCAUUAAGCAUUCCGCCUGGGGAGUACGGCCGCAAGGUUGAAACUCAAAGGAAUUGACGGGGCCCGCACAAGCGGUGGAGCAUGUGGUUUAAUUCGACGCAACGCGCAGAACCUUACCAGGGUUUGACAUCCUGCGACCGCUCCCUAAUAGGAGUUUUCCCGCAAGGGACGCAGAGACAGGUGCUGCAUGGCUGUCGU
rnacentral:rRNA from 1 species